GGAAGAUAUAUCGCUUGCAGGUUUUGUGGCGUCAUUUCCGUUUUGAUACAUGAGAGACAAGAAACCUCGAAAGUAAAUACUGAAAUGAAGUUUAUAAGUUUAAAUUAACAAAAUUGUGAAGUAAUGCAACUUUAACUAAUUAAUAAUGCUAGGUGAAAUAUUCGAUGUUUCACGCAGGAGGACCCGAAUUCACGUCCCAGAUCUGGUGACUUCUGAAAAGUCUUUUCGGGGUGCUGAGCCCGGCCCGGCGAUCCCCGUCCUUUACCAUCCGGUCCCCUUCUAUGGGUGUGGAUGCAGUCCGUGGUUGAAACUGGCGCCACCCUUUAAAAAUCUCACUGAUUCGAAAAAAAUAUACAAAAAAAAUGUUCGAUAUCUGCAAAAGUAAUUCUGGACGGACAUCGGCGUUGCGGAGGGGUUCUGUACAGACUCUGCUGCUUUACUGUUUCCAUUGUUGCACCCAUAAAUGGGAUGCAUAUCUGCCAGUUCUGCAUGGGAGUGGUGAUCCAUAACAUACCCGGGAGGAUUGUGGUGGGC
rnacentral:lncRNA from 1 species